GGCUACUUGUCCGGGACAUGUUCUGUCUUGAAAACAGGAUAGAAGUGUUCAACUCACUUAGUAGCU
rnacentral:tRNA from 1 species